AUUAAUUACAUAAAAUUGUAAAUUUCCGUAUAUAAAUGAAGCAACCCAAAAGCGAGAUCUUUUAUCUCUCUCUCUCUUCUCUCUCUCUCUCUCUCUCCAGGACUUAGCAUAAUCUUUCUCUUUAGGAGUCUGAACAAGGGAUUGAGGAGUGAGAUUUUUGGGAUUUGGGGAUGGAAAAUGGGACUGAGAUUGUUUCUGAGUCUCGCUGGCUAGACGAAACUACUGCAGAGGUUGGGGUUUUUCAGGAGCGGGUAGAGGAGAAGGCUGUUUCGGGGUCUGAUGGAUUGGAUGAGGUGGAGGUGGAAGAGGUUUUUGAGGAGGCUGUAGAGUUGCCGGAGCGUUUGGAUGAGCAGGGUGGAGCAAAAGUUGAUUGUGGGGAUCAGAUUGUUGAUGGUGAAGAAGGAAAUGUGUUAACGUUGAGUGAUGCAAGUUUGACGGGUGUUACUGAAAUUUCCAAUGGUGGAGAUGAGGUAGAGAACUUUGAAGAGGCGAUUGGCAUCCCAGAUCAGAUUGGAGAAGAGGUGGAUAAGGAGACACGUGUUACUGCCAAAGAGAAGGUGCAGGAUUUUGGUGGUGCAAAUGGUGUCGAGGGGGAUGUGGUGGUUGGUGAGAUAGAUGGGGAGAAGACUGUACUUGAAGAUGUGCCAUUUGAAGUGAAGGUACAUGGAAGUGAUUCUUUUGUGGUCAACAAAGAAGAUGGGGUGAAAGAGAUUUCUGAGAUUAGCGUUGGAGGAGAAAUAGAAUCUAAAAUUGCUGGGGGUGAGGUUGAGAAGAGCUCUAAUUUAGUGAUUGAUACUGAGAAGUCUGAAAGUGGUAAUUUUGAUAGUGUAACUUCGAAGAAUGUAGCUGCAGGUGAAAAAUUGGACAAGGAAGCUGCCUCCCUCGAGUGUUAUCAAGAGACCGAGUCCAGCAAGGAGAAUUCAACUGAAGUUAGCAAAGUACAGGAGAUAGAAGAAAAUACCUUGGGUGUUGAAGAUCGAAAUGUCAGCAUUGUUUAUGAUGACCUAAAUUUGAAGGUUCAUGGUGAAAAGGGAGUCCAAAUGGAUGGUGAUCGACAGGAUCUUGAUAGUAACCAACCGAAAUCUGGAACUAGCAUUGAUUCAGUGCAGAGUGAUUAUAAUGUAGGACCACAGAGCUCUAUAGAACAUAAAGAUAAUCAAAACGGUGAUGUCAGAAUGACUCCUGCUGAGCAUUCUUCUGAACUUAAUGCAGAAACUUCUGAGCUGAAAAAUACUUUAGCUAACACAGAGGCAUCUAUCAAGGAAAGGGUGCCAGAAAUCAUAAACUCAACUUCUUCUGAGAAAUCGAAUGUGGAGAAGACAGAGGUGAUCAAGGCGAUUGACACUGAUUUGCAAACUGUGAGUCACAAGGCUAUUCAACCUGAACAAGUUAGGGAUGUUCAUGUAGUAUAUGAUAAUGGCAAGGCUAAGGAGCCAGAAAAAAGAGAAGAGAAAGAUAAGGAAAAAAAACACAGUACUCUAGUUCAUAGUGCAGUGAAUCAGCCAGCACAAGAAAAUGCUUCUUUACCUGGUAAAUCUACCAAUUCUGCUCCCUCUAAUGCACCUCCUGCUGGCUUAGGACGUGCUGCCCCUUUACUAGAACCUACUCCUCGGGUGGUGCAGCAACCUCGGGUCAAUGGUAGUGUUACUCAGAUGCAGAACCAACAAAUUGAGGAGCCUGUUAAUGGAGGAGAUUCAGAGGAGUAUGAUGAAACUCGUGAAAAACUGCAGAUGAUAAGGGUGAAGUUUUUGCGGCUUGCACAUAGGCUUGGACAGACUCCUCAUAAUGUUGUUGUAGCUCAAGUUUUGUACAGACUUGGUUUGGCAGAACAGCUGCGUGGGAGAAAUGGGGGCCGUGUUGGGGCCUUUAGCUUUGAUCGUGCAAGUGCUAUGGCAGAACAACUUGAGGCAUCGGGACAAGAACCCCUUGAUUUCUCUUGUACUAUUAUGGUCCUUGGAAAAUCAGGGGUUGGUAAAAGUGCCACUAUCAAUUCUAUAUUUGACGAAGUGAAGUUUGGCACGGAUGCUUUUCAGAUGGGUACAAAGAAGGUUCAGGAUGUUGUGGGAACAGUACAAGGGAUUAAGGUACGUGUUAUUGACACACCUGGCCUUCUACCUUCAUGGUCCGACCAGCGUCAGAAUGAGAGGAUUCUGCACUCAGUUAAGCGCUUUAUCAAGAAAACACCACCAGAUAUUGUGUUAUAUUUAGAUAGGUUGGACAUGCAAUGCAGGGAUUUUAGUGAUAUGCCAUUGUUGCGCACCAUAACAGAGAUAUUUGGCCCUUCAAUAUGGUGUAACGCAAUUGUGGUACUGACACAUGCUGCUUCUGCUCCACCUGAUGGCCCAAAUGGUACUGCUUCUAGUUAUGAUAUGUUUGUCACUCAACGAUCUCAUGUUGUCCAGCAAGCCAUCCGCCAGGCAGCUGCAGAUAUGCGGUUAAUGAAUCCAGUUUCAUUAGUGGAGAACCAUUCUGCAUGCAGGACAAAUAGGGCUGGGCAAAGAGUUUUGCCAAAUGGCCAGGUUUGGAAACCUCAUUUGUUACUGCUCUCUUUUGCAUCAAAAAUCUUGGCUGAAGCAAACGCACUUCUAAAAUUGCAAGACAGUCCACCAGGGAAGCCUUUUGCCAAUCGUAGAGGACAUCCUUUGCCUUUUCUUCUUUCAUCCCUGCUUCAAUCAAGGCCACAGUUGAAGCUUCCUGAAGAGCAGUUUGGUGAUGAUGAUGAUGUAUAUGAUGAUUUGGAUGAAUCAUCAGACUCUGAUGAUGAAUCAGAGUACGAUGGAUUGCCUCCAUUCAAAAGUUUGAACAAUGCCCAGUUGGCAAAGCUUUCCAAAGCUCAAAAGAAGGCCUAUUAUGAUGAGUUAGAAUAUAGGGAAAAGCUUCUUAUGAAGAAACAAUUGAAGGAAGAGAAGAAGCGGCGGAAAAUUAUGAAGAAAAUGGCAGAAGCUGUGAAGGAUUUGCCCAGAGAUUUAGGUGAAAAUACAGAAGAAAGUUCCGGCGGGGCAUCUAUUCCUGUUUCCAUGCCAGAUUUUGUCUUACCUGCUUCAUUUGAUUCAGAUAGCCCCACUCACCGGUAUCGUCAUCUUGAUUCUUCAAAUUGGCUUGUGAGGCCUGUUCUAGAAACUCACGGUUGGGAUCACGAUGUUGGUUAUGAAGGAAUAAAUGUAGAGAAAUUAUUUGUGCUUAAGGAGAAAAUACCCUUGUCAUUUUCUGGCCAGGUUUCAAAGGAUAAGAAGGAUGCCAAUGUCCAAAUGGAAGUUGCUAGCUCAUUAAAGCAUGGAGAAGGAAAAUCAACUUCAUUAGGUUUUGAUAUGCAGACUGUUGGGAAGGACUUGGUCUAUACUCUACGGAGCGAAACAAGAUUUAGUAAUUUCAGGAGGAACAAGGCAACUGCAGGUUUAUCAGUUACUCUCCUAGGGGAUGCUGUAUCAGCUGGAGUUAAACUUGAGGAUAAGUUAAUUGCUAAUAAACAGUUCCAGUUGGUUAUGGCUGGGGGCGCGAUGACCAGUCGUGGUGACAUAGCUUAUGGUGGCAGCCUUGAGGCUCAGUUGAGAGAUAAAGACUAUCCUGUGGGCCGUUGGUUAUCGACUCUUGGGCUAUCUGUCAUGGAUUGGCAUGGUGAUCUUGCAUUGGGAUUGAAUGUACAAUCUCAGAUUCCAGUUGGACGCCAUACAACUAUGAUUGCUCGUGCCAAUGUGAAUAACAGAGGAGCUGGGCAAGUGAGCAUUCGCUUAAAUAGUUCAGAACAGUUUCAGUUAGCUUUGGCUGGUCUCAUUCCGCUGAUCAGAAAAUUUAUCACUUAUACGCCCCAAUUGUCGUUUGGGCAAUAAUUAAAGGUGCAGCUCGAGGGUUUUGAAAAAUGAGGAUAAGCAUCGACAAUAUGAUGAGCUUCUGAAAAUCCUUUCAAGGCAAAUCUGAGGAGUGAAGCCUGGGGUGGUGAUUUGGACUAUAUAGAUUGUUCUAUGUUUUUCAUUUUUGGACUGAUGUGUAUUUGCAAUUUAGACUGUUGUGUUUUUAUAAUUUGAAUAGCUGGAUUUUUGUUUAUUAGAAGUUAGAACUAUGGCUUUAGACUUUAUUAUGGUGAUCAGGUAGUGGCCUUUUAUUUGAAUUUGAAUAUGAAAAAAUUAAUAUUUUUUUUUUCUUCUUUAGGUUAUGCACUUAGACUUUUGUAAGCUCUUCUUUUUAGAUUGGGUUAAAUAAAAUAUAUGUAUUAAAUUUCA